UACGGGGGGGCAAGCGUUGUUCGGAAUUACUGGGCGUAAAGGGCUCGUAGGCGGCCAACUAAGUCAGACGUGAAAUCCCUCGGCUUAACCGGGGAACUGCGUCUGAUACUGGAUGGCUUGAGUUUGGGAGAGGGAUGCGGAAUUCCGAGGUGUAGCGGUGAAAUGCGUAGAGAUGUGGACGGAACACCGGAUGGCCGGAAGGCAGCCCCCUGGGCUAACACUGACGCUCGAUGCACGAAGCGUGGGGAGCAAACAGG
rnacentral:rRNA from 1 species